GGUUGCUGCGCGAGUUCUCGCUCUUGUGCGUCUUCACUUGGACCAUUUAGAUCCAUCAAACUUGGAUCAAUAAAGUUCAGAGACUCCUGUAGGAAAAAAAAAAAAAAUGGAGAUGAAAAAUAUGUACAUCUCUACUUUAAAAGUUCUUCCACUGAAAUCAUAAAACAUCACAGAAACAGAUGAAGAGAGAAAAGGGAUAAAGAUACCUGAUCAGAACCAACACGUUUAAAUGACUUGUUUUCUGAAGUCAGUUGUAAAGAAUGAAAUAAAGAGAAAGCUGGA
rnacentral:lncRNA from 1 species